rnacentral:rRNA from 1 species
AUUGAACGCUGGCGGCAUGCCUUACACAUGCAAGUCGAACGGUAACAGGUCUUCGGAUGCUGACGAGUGGCGAACGGGUGAGUAAUACAUCGGAACGUGCCUAGUAGUGGGGGAUAACUACUCGAAAGAGUGGCUAAUACCGCAUGAGAUCUACGGAUGAAAGCAGGGGAUCGCAAGACCUUGUGCUACUAGAGCGGCCGAUGGCAGAUUAGGUAGUUGGUGGGAUAAAAGCUUACCAAGCCGACGAUCUGUAGCUGGUCUGAGAGGACGAUCAGCCACACUGGGACUGAGACACGGCCAAGACUCCUACGGGAGGCAGCAGUGGGGAAUUUUGGACAAUGGGCGCAAGCCUGCUCCAGCAAUGCCGCGUGCAGGAUGAAGGCCUUCGGGUUGUAAACUGCUUUUGUACGGAACGAAAAGCCCUGGGUUAAUACCCUGGGGUCAUGACGGUACCGUAAGAAUAAGCACCGGCUAACUACGUGCCAGCAGCCGCCGUAACAC